rnacentral:rRNA from 1 species
AGCGAACGCUGGCGGCAGGCCUAACACAUGCCAGUCGAACGAACCUUUCGGGGUUAGUGGCGGACGGGUGAGUAACACGUGGGAACGUGCCUUUAGGUUCGGAAUAACUCAGGGAAACUUGUGCUAAUACCGAAUGUGCCCUUCGGGGGAAAGAUCUAUCGCCUUUAGAGCGGCCCGCGUCUGAUUAGCUAGUUGGUUGAGGUAAUGGCUCACCAAGGCGACGAUCAGUAGCUGGUCUGAGAGGAUGAUCAGCCACAUUGGGACUGAGACACGGCCCAAACUCCUACGGGAGGCAGCAGUGGGGAAUCUUGCGCAAUGGGCGAAAGCCUGACGCAGCCAUGCCGCGUGAAUGAUGAAGGUCUUAGGAUUGUAAAAUUCUUUCACCGGGGACGAUAAUGACGGUACCCGGAGAAGAAGCCCCGGCUAACUUCGUG